rnacentral:rRNA from 1 species
AUUGAACGCUGGCGGCAGGCUUCACACAUGCAAGUCGAGCGAGCGGCGGACGGGUGAGUAAUGUCUGGGAAACUGCCUGAUGGAGGGGGAUAACUACUGGACACGGUAGCUAAUACCGCAUACCAUCAGAUGUGCCCAGAUGGGAUUAGCUAGUAGGUGGGGUAAUGGCUCACCUAGGCGACGAUCCCUAGCUGGUCUGAGAGGAUGACCGGCCACACGGGAACGGAGCCACGGUCCAGAAUCCUACGGGAGGCAGCAGUGGGGAAUAGUGCACAAUGGGCGAAAGCCUGAUGCAGCCAUGCCGCGGGUUUGAAGAAGGCCUUCGGGUUGUAAAGCACUUUCAGCGAGGAGGCGUUACUCGCAGAAGAAGCACCGGCUAACUCCGGGCCAGCAGCCGCGGUAAUAC